AUUGAACGCUGGCGGCAGGCUUAACACAUGCAAGUCGAGCGGAGUGAUGGUGCUUGCACUAUCACUUAGCGGCGGACGGGUGAGUAAUGCUUAGGAAUCUGCCUAUUAGUGGGGGACAACAUCUCGAAAGGGAUGCUAAUACCGCAUACGUCCUACGGGAGAAAGCAGGGGAUCACCUGUGACCUUGCGCUAAUAGAUGAGCCUAAGUCGGAUUAGCUAGUUGGUGGGGUAAAGGCCUACCAAGGCGACGAUCUGUAGCGGGUCUGAGAGGAUGAUCCGCCACACUGGGACUGAGACACGGCCCAGAGUCCUACGGGAGGCAGCAGUGGGGAAUAUUGGACAAUGGGGGGAACCCUGAUCCAGCCAUGCCGCGUGCGUGAAGAAGGCCUUAUGGUUGUAAAGCACUUUAAGCGAGGAGGAGGCUCCUUUGGUUAAUACCCAAGAUGAGUGGACGUUACUCGCAGAAUAAGCACCGGCUAACUCUGUGCCAGCCGCCGCAGUAA
rnacentral:rRNA from 1 species